AAUCAAAUUAAAAUCUCCCAAUAGGAAAGAAAAAAGGCCAUCAAGAAUGAUUUCCUCUGCAAAGUUGCAUUUCAUUUUGCUCCUUUUAUGCUUUUCUUCCUUAUCUUUCAUUGAGGUUUCACUAGGUGGUGAGAGAGUUCCAUCACACAUUGCUUCACUCUCCCUCCUUGCUCCAGCAGCAACCUCUCCGGUCACCUGUCCAGUCCCUCUAGAAAGAUGUGGGAGUGAAUGCGAUCGGCGAUGCUCAAACACGGAGCAUAAGAACAACUGUCUGUUGUUUUGCAACAAAUGUUGUGACACAUGCCUGUGCGUGCCACCCGGAACUUAUGGUCACAAGGAAUGUUGCCCAUGCUACAAUGACUGGAAGACUAAGGAAGGAGGCCCCAAAUGCCCUUGAAAUUGUUCUUGCAAUAAAUUCUUAUUUCCAUGCAUAGUGAAAAAUAAGACAUGGAUGAAAUAAAAGCGAAAUGAAAGUUUCGAGAUGGAAAUUAUGUUCUUUU